GGAAGAGUGGGUGAGUGGUUUAAACCAGGCGGUUGCUAACUGUCCGUGGAAAGCAAUUUCCACCGAGAGUUCGAAUCUCUCCUCUUCCGCCA
rnacentral:tRNA from 1 species